AUGUGCCCCCAUCUAAAUAUGAUCCUGCAUCCGCCCAUGACACAUCCAAGUAUUAUACAUAUAUAUUAGAAAACAAAUAAGUUCAAAACAAAAGAACAAUUCCCUGGCAGAUUCGAAAACUCAGUCAGAUAAAUUAGUUCAAAACUUUUAAACAAGUUUAAAAAUGAUCAUCCCUUCGAAUCCACGAAACUUCACACUCAUAACAUUCUCUUUCUAGCCGGACCCAU
rnacentral:lncRNA from 1 species